GUUUGCACGGUCAGCUGGGGGUGUCUGCUCUAUCUAGUCGUGGAGGCCGGUUCCAUUCCUGGAUGCCAGUGGGAAGGCAGAGACUAGAUUUCUGCCUUCUCUCACCUGAGCCAGGACUUCUCACUCAAAGAGAACCUCGAGCCCCUUCUGAAGAACGUACUUCUGAGAUGUGGGAUGAAAAAUCCGUUAGACCGCCACUGCCUAGUUCAGCAUUCCUGCUACUUCUGCCUAACACACCUGCCUCCAGCAAAUCAUGCCCUCCACUCUCAGAGAUAUUUCGAUACCACUGUUGGUGCUAUGUUUUAUGGGUGCAGGUAUCACAAUCAGUAUUUUAAUUACAUACUCAUUAGAUUGGAGAGUAUGGCAAUACGACAACCCCAAUAUAACAACAGCAUGGUUGGGACUUUCCAAAUAUUGCUAUUUACCCAAAGACCGAGCCAAGCCUUCACGAAUUCUAGAAAAAGUAUGCCUAAAAAUGAAUGCUACAUUGGAGUUCCCAUGGGAAAUUACUCUUAGCCAGGACUGGAUGUCAUUAGCCAUCAUAAUGCAAGGAGCAGCACUUCUUUUCACUUUUUUUGGAAUACUAACUGUUUUGAAGAAAGAAGCGUAUGCACCAUUCUACCCCUGGUUUCAAGUGGCUGGAAUCUGCCUUAUGCUCGGUUGCAUCAUUGUUUUAGGAACAGUAUCCUGGAAUUUGUAUCUCGACUCAAUCAACCAUCCUUUCAACUACCCCACCAAUUUUCUUCUGCUGGACAUCCCAGUGCAUAGAAAUAUGGGUCUUGCCACUCCUCUAGGUAUAACAGCCUCACUCUUGAUGUUACCAAAUGGGGUCAUGUUAUUCAUUCAUGGAUGUCGUUUGAGACCGGAUAGUCGAAUACAUCCUUUGGAAUUUUGAAGAAGAAUUCAUUGCCAGCUUCCUCAAGAUGAAUGGCCUGUUAGGGUCCAAACUUUCAUGUUCUGACUUCAUUGACUUCAGUGGUUUUAAGUAUUUGCACCAGAUGCAGGCUAUGCUAGCUGAGAUCUCAACAGCAUUAUUUACUUUGUAGAAAAAUUUGGGUUGUCUUUAGAAUUGUUGAUGUAUUAAAGGUUGUGUUAAUGUGUAUGUCA